GUCACUGCGUGUAGUAGUUAUGACGUCACAUAUGUUGCCGUAGCCACGACGUCACCGAGAUCUGUGCCCCUGUGUGUUCUACGUCAGGAUCCCGGCUGUUUGGCGGUGCAGAGCAGGCCUAGGGCUCGGAGUGAAGGCCGCGGCGGGACCGGGCCAGGCCGGCGCUGGGGAGAGAGUGAACCAGAGAGGCGCCGCGUACGGACAGUCCGCUCACCACGGCCGCAGGCUGAGCGGAGCCUAUGGCCCCGAAGCAGCAGCUGGAGAAGGCGGCCUGGCAGUGGACUGAGAGCGUCAGGCCGGAGGAGGUGAAGCAGGAACACAUCGAGCUGGCGUACCGCAUCCGCCUGGGCUCCUGCCGCAGGGACGCCCGCAGACGCAACUGUAGAGGAAACCCAAACUGCUUAGUAGGUCUUGGUGAACAUGUUUGGCUGGGAGAAAUUGAUGAAAAUAGCUUCCACAACAUUGAUGAUCCAAACUCUGAAAGGAGAUGCAAGAAUACCUUUGUUGGAUUAACUAAUCUUGGAGCUACUUGUUACGUUAACACCCUGCUUCAGGUUUGGUUUCACAACCUUGAGUUGCGACAAGCACUGUAUCUCUGCCAUAGUCCUCGAAAGGAAAUAGGGACUGGAGAAGCGAUUGAGGAUGAUGCAGAAUUUGAACCACAAUCCAUCUGUGAGCACCUUCAGUACUUGUUUGCUUUGUUGCAAAGCAGUAAUAGACGAUAUAUUGAUCCUUCUGGUUUUGUAAAAGCACUGGGCCUGGAUACAGGGCAACAGCAGGAUGCUCAAGAAUUCUCCAAGCUUUUUAUGUCACUAUUAGAGGACACACUAUCAAAACAGAACAAUCCAGAUGUACAGAAUAUUAUUCAGCAGCAGUUCUGUGGACAGUAUGCGUAUGUCACAGUGUGUAAUCAAUGCAGGCGGGAGUCUAAGCUGUUAUCUCGUUUUUAUGAACUGGAGUUAAAUAUCCAAGGACACAAGCAGCUGACAGAUUGCAUUGAUGAAUUUCUGAAGGAAGAAAAGCUAGAAGGAGAUAACAGGUACUUUUGUGAUGAAUGUCAGGACAAACAGAAUGCCACUAGGAAAAUUAAACUACUCAGCCUUCCAAGAACACUCAAUUUGCAGCUUUUGAGGUUUGUCUUUGACAGACAAACUGGUCAUAAGAAAAAGCUAAACUCUUACAUCAGCUUUCCUGAAGUUUUAGACCUAACUACAUACCUUGAACGAAAAGAUAUUGGCUGUAUUUAUGAACUGAGUGCGGUGCUGAUCCACAGAGGGGUGAGUGCAUAUUCCGGCCAUUACAUUGCACACGUGCGAGAUGACAGGACCGGCGACUGGUAUAAAUUUAAUGAUGAGGAGAUUGAGAAAAUGGAAGGGAAGAAGCUACAGUUGGGGAUAGAGGAAGAUCUUGCUGAACCUUCAAAGUCACAGACACGAAAACCCAAGUGUGUUAAAGGUGUUCACUGUUCGCGGAAUGCUUACAUGUUGGUGUACAGACGUAAAGUGGAAGGAGGCAAGGAAAAGGAAAUAACUGUUCAACUCCCACCACAUUUACAAAAAAUGGUUGAACGUGAUAACAAAAAAUUUGAGGAGUGGUGCAUGGAAAUGGCUGAGAUGCGGAAGCAGAGUGUGGACAAAGGCAAAGCCAAGCAUGAGGAGGUGCAAGAGCUCUUUAACAUGUUACCAGCUAAAGAAGAUGAGCACUAUGAAUUUCUACCAGUGGACUGGUUACGGAAGUGGCUGGAUGACUCGGCAGUAACAAAACCAAUUGAUAAUUCUUGCCACCUGUGUGCACAUAACAGACUUAUUCCUGAUAAAAUCUGUGAUGUCAAAAGGAUUUCUCAGAAAGCAGCUGAUAUCUUCUAUGCUAGAUAUGGAGGUGGUCCAAGGUUGGAUGCUACUGCUUUAUGUAGAGAUUGUGUGGUGGAAAAAUGCAGGAUUCUUAGAUUAAAAAAUCAGUUAAAUGAAGAUUACAAAAUCAUCUCCAACUUGACCAGGACCACAUUGCAAAGCCAUGAAGGAUAUUGGGUGGGAAAAGCCUCACUUCGAAGUUGGCGUCAACUAGCACUAAAUCAGUUGGAUGGAAAGGAAGAUGACCCAGACCACACUGAUGGGAAAAGCAAUGGAGAAGGCCUAAACAAUUUGCAUGCCAAAGGGGAUGACGAGAUAAUAGGAGAAAAGGAUGAUGAUGAAGACAUGAACUUUAACGAAGAUCUUGUCUGUCCACAUGGCGAUUUAUGCACAUCUGAAACUGAAAGAAGACUUGUGUCUGUUGAAACGUGGCAUAGACUAAAGGCUUAUUUCCCAAAGUCACCUGAGUUCCCACAUUAUCACUCGCCUUGUGUACAGUGUCAGAAGGUAUUAGAGAAGGAGGGUGAGGAAAAUGAGACUCUGAGCAAGAUGAUGGCAAAUGAGCAGAAAUCAGCACUUCUAUGUCUUUUUCAAGAUAAGAAUAGACCACUGCUAAUCAAAUGGCCUGAGGAGACAGAUGUUCUUUAUGUUGUUUCCCAGUUUUUUGUCGAAGAGUGGAAGAAGUUUAUCAGGAAGCCAACGAAAUGCAGUCCUGUAUCAUCUGUGGGUAACAAUGCACUUCUCUGUCCACACGGAGGUCUCAUGUUUACAGCAGAGUCAAUGACCAAAGAGGAUUCAAAACAUGUAGCUCUUUUAUGGCCAAGUGAAUGGGAAAUCAUCCACAAAUUAUUUGUCGUUGAUAAUACGAUUAAAGUUAUUCGAUUGAUGAGCACUGGAGAAAAUGGCACUGUACAACUGGAAUAUACCACCAGUCCUGAUCUUUGUGGAGAGUGUCGGGAAGGUUUACUUUGUCAACAGCAGCGAGAUUUAAGAGAGUACACACAGGCCACUAUCUAUAUCCGAAAAGUAGUGGAGAGUAUCAAGGUGAUGAAAGAAGGUGCACCAGAGCUAAAUUUAAGUGGUUCAGAGGCAGAGGAGGAGAGAGAGGAAUGCAAAGUAGAAGGAGAGAAGGAUCCUGACUUUAACCAGAGUAAUGGAGCAAAACGACGGAAGCUGACACACCCUUGUAUUGGUGGUGGUAACAGCAGCACAUACUAUAAACAGGGAAUUCGACGUAGCACACGGCACAGAGUUCGUGGAGAAAAGGAGCUCAUCGUGUCAGCAAAUCAGACUCUCAAAGAGUUGAAAAUUCAGAUCAUGCAUGCCUUUUCUGUUGCACCAUUUGAUCAAAAUUUGUCACUGGAAGGACGGAUGCUAACUGAUGAUACUGCAACACUGGGAAAUCUGGGAAUUAUCCCAGAAUCAGUCAUUCUGUUAAAGGCUGAUGAACCAAUUGCUGAUUAUACAGCAAUGGAUGAUAUAAUGCAAGUAUGUAUGCCUGAAGAGGGUUUUAAAGAUAUGGGUAGCAAUGUACCAAAAGGCAGCAGACCAGGUUAUAAAUGUCAAUAUACUGGAGUAUCACCUGGACAGGUUUUGGGAUUGGCACUUCAAGUAUAACUAUACCAAGUAAAGCAUAAAUAGAAGCAGGAGUUGACUACACACCCCUCGACCUCUUCCAUUCUUCUUAUCAUCGUGGUACUGGUCUACUGGGCCACUGAGCCACUGAGCAAAUGAAAAUUGCUGUGGACAGCUGAGUGAAAAGUUAUGCAAUAAGGAAGGACAAAGGUGAAGUUGCUCAAACAUUGCACCAAGCAUACAGGACAUGCAUUGACUUGGUUUAUACUUUUAAAAAGAAAGGACCAGUCUUAAAGUUUGCUUGUAUCUCCUGCCUUUUUAUGCAAAAAUGCACAGUGUCUUGAAUUCAGUUGAUGGAGCAAUAGAGGAAAAUAAACCCGUUUCGAUGCUGCCUUGACAUUUCAGAGUGACCAGAUCAUUGGUGUUGAGAGAGAAAAUCCCCUUCGAUUCACUGUGUCUAAAAAUGUAUUUGAAGCCAGAAUAGUGUCUUGAUGCCUGUUCUGAUCAAGCUGUUUGAUGUAAAGUUUCUUCCUUGAGCACGCUCAACUGUUGGCAAGUUGCUAUUUACCAUGAGGCCAAUAAUUAACUUUUUCUCCUGUGAUGUCAUCACACACUUAAAAGUUGAUUUUUGCUUAGAAUGACACAUCAACCUAACUGUCAAUAUGUGUUAAUACUGAGUUAUAUAAAUUGUUUAACACAUCAAAUUAACAAGUCACUACUGCAUUUCAAAAUGUAAAAUAUGCAAGAACAAAAUGAACAAAUUUAAUGUUCUAUGAGUAUCCUUGUUCAGGUUGUUCCUUGCAACUUGUAAACUGUGUACACAGUAAAAUAGUUGCCUGCAUUAAUUACAUUAAUGUUUCCUGAUAUAUCCGAGUAAUAUUGUACUAGGACCACUGAAGUGCUGUAAAUAAAUGCAAUGCUUCUUGAUUUAA